GGGCCAAUAGCUCAGUUGGUUAGAGCUACCGGCUCAUAACCGGUUGGUCCGGGGUUCGAGUCCCUGUUGGCCCACCA
rnacentral:tRNA from 1 species